rnacentral:lncRNA from 10 species
UCCUUCCGGUGUGUGGGUUGUUUGUUCUUUUGCUCUUCGCAGUAAAUUUUGCUGGUGCUCAGUCCUUGGGUCUGCACUACCUUUAUGAGCUGUAAGACUGACUGUGCAGGUCUGCGGCUUCAUUUCUGAAGUCAGCAAGACCAUGAACCCACCAGAAGGAAGAAACAAACUCUGGACACAUCUGAACAUCUGAAGGAAAAAAUUCCGGACACACCAUCUUUAAGAACUGUGACACUCACCGCAAGGGUCUGUGGCUUCAUUCUUGAAGCAAUGAGACGAAGAACCCACCAGAAGGAACCAAUUCCGGACACAUUUUGGCGACCACAAAGGGAAAAUCGACUAUCACCAAGCGGGUGGUCUAAUACUCAACAUUUGUCAGUGCCCACUGGAAACCAUUCUGAGACUCCCUGCAGCUGAGGAUCACAGGCUUUUCAUUGUAAUGAUGUGAAUUAUUGCUGAACUGAUGACCUCAAACUCCUGCAAACAACUUGGAUAUCAGUGACCCCAUGAGAAUCUGUAAUAUCACUGGACAUGAAAAGAAGCCUGGUCCCUUCUACAACCAUGACAUAUAUUUGUAUUUAUGGUCCUCUGGAGAAUCUUGCCUUUUCCCACCAAUUUUUAUUUUACUCUAUCUAUAGUAUUGUAAUUUCAGAAGAAGAAAAUAAACUACAUUCCAUUCAUUGCC